rnacentral:rRNA from 1 species
UACAGAGGGUGCGAGCGUUAAUCGGAUUUACUGGGCGUAAAGCGCGCGUAGGCGGCUUUUUAAGUCGGAUGUGAAAUCCCCGAGCUUAACUUGGGAAUUGCAUUCGAUACUGGGAAGCUAGAGUAUGGGAGAGGAUGGUAGAAUUCCAGGUGUAGCGGUGAAAUGCGUAGAGAUCUGGAGGAAUACCGAUGGCGAAGGCAGCCAUCUGGCCUAAUACUGACGCUGAGGUGCGAAAGCAUGGGGAGCAAAC